GUCCUGCCUAUCUGAGAAUAUAGAUCUCCGACCACUGACCAAACUCCACUUCAAGCAGUCCCGAGGACUGCUCUUCCCCUUGCCCAUGGACCUGUCUGCUCAGUCCCUGGAUCUCCCAGGAUCAUGCCGAAAAUUUUGCUCUGGAACACAGCACUGGUACUUGCACAAAGUGGAUUUUGCACUUAAUGUCAGCAGCUUCCUUUCUGGGAAGAACCUCGGGAAUAACCAGGAGUGUGGGGAGUGCCUGAAUAACCUGCCGUGUCCCCAAAGUCCUCAAUCAGCAAGCACAGCAAGGGGUGAGUGAGAACCAGACAACACUCAGGAGCUCCAGGUCCACAACAGCUGCACACCCACCACACACCCUCCUGUGUGACACAACCCUCCUGUCCACUGCCAGAGAAACAAAAACACAGCAGAAGGCAAGGUACAGGAACAUGGGAGCCUUCUACAUGAAAGGUUUGUUGCAUGGGAGACAGCAAAGGCAGGAGAUCACACGUCCCUACAGUUCCAGAAAGCCAUGGCCAGGCACUGCAGGGCCAAAUACCUGGCUCCCAGCUAAAAAACAUGGGAAACUGCUAAUCAGCCCAUGAGUAUUCGACCUAGGUCUGCAACACUGGGUAACGCUAUUGUUUGUCCCUUUACAUUCCUGCAAGUCCCAGUGCCAUUGGCCUCUUGUAUCAUAAAGAAAUUAAAAUGUAUUAUGACCAUAAACUACAUCAUUUGAGGAAAUGAA